UCAGCAGUCCCAAAAUAUUAGUCAAUGCUCGAAAGAGUGAACUAGCUAACUGAAUCAAUUAAAAAAUUGAUAACAUAAGGGAAAAUAAUGAUAUUACCUUAUUAUUAGUGUCGUCCAAAACUGGUGCCAGAAGACUCGGUAAGGCCAGAGACACAAACGUUAAUCGUCUUAAUCAGGCGUAAAGGGUUUGUAGGCUGCUUUUAAUUUACUUAUAAAUCUUAUAAAAAUAAGUUAAGAAUAAAAGCUAGAAUCAAAUAGAGGAUAUAUUAAAUAAUGUUUAGAGUAGGUCUGAUAUCCUUAGAUACUAAGUAGAAUAUUAAAGGCGAAAGCUUUUUUUCCAUAAAUGAUUGACGCUCAGAAACGAAGGUGAGGAUAGGAAAUAGGAUUAGAUACCCAAAAUACCCCUCUCUGUCAACGAUGAAUGGUAAUUAUUAAUAAUAAAUUUAUUAUUAAUGGUAAUGUUAACACGAUAACCAUUCCGCCUUGUGAGUACAACUGCAAAGUUGAAAACAAAAAAAUUAGUCGGUUUCGGAGCAAACGAAGUGAAGCAUGUUAUUUAAUUCAUUUAAUCCGCA
rnacentral:rRNA from 1 species